rnacentral:rRNA from 1 species
GACUCUCGGCAACGGAUAUCUCGGCUCUCGCAUCGAUGAAGAACGUAGCGAAAUGCGAUACUUAUUAUUUGCUUUGUUGAUAUGAAGAGAAUUUAUAUAGUACAAUCCCCUUUUUAGUAUCA